rnacentral:tRNA from 1 species
CAGGGCAUGACUAAAUAGUAAAGUACCUCGCUUACACUGAGAAAAUGCCUGUGCAAAUCAAGCUGCCCUGA